rnacentral:rRNA from 1 species
UCUUUUUUAUAAAUAAGGAGCGUCUGUUGAUCACAAACAUAGGGCAAUGCUAAAAAUUAUUUUAAAGUAUAUUGUUUGUAGCCUGUUCAGUGGUGUUUAACCAAACAACAGAAUUUUCUUUAAAGUGAUCAUUGAUUGUCCAAAUAACAGUCAUAAUAAUGGUAUUACGACUCCUUCUUUGUCCUAAUCAAGGCCCCUAUGAAAUAGACAUGGUUUUGAAUAGGAAACUUGCGGCACUGGGACGGAGAGACCCUGUGCACCUUUACUUUUCUCUAGAUUUUUAUAAUUAUAAUAAAAAGG